CGUUUCAUAAUUUGAUAAUAUUUUUUUAUNGUCACACAUGCAUGUAAGCAAAACAUUUUUUUACUAAAAUGUUAACCUACAUAUGAUUUUCGAUACUUUGCGCUCAAAUAAUUUACUGGUGAGAUGUAAGCGUUAUACCGUAAUUAUUUUAUUUACACGUAUUUAACUUCGGUUAUUUUGCGUUGUAAUAUUAAUUUUUACAUUUAUAUAAAUAAUAUAUAAUGUGAUGCACGCGUUAGGUACAAGCUUACUGCAGAAAUGUCUAAGACAUUCCCCUCCGGGGGUAGUAUGCACGCAAGUGUGAAACUUGAAGGAAUUGACGGAAGGGCACCACAAGAACGCGUGGAGCAUGUGGCUUAAUUUGACUCAACGCGGGAAAUCUUACCGGGUCCGGACACACUGAGGAUUGACAGAUAUAUGCAUAUAUAUUGCUUUCGGGCAGUAUAUGUGUGAAAGAUGCUAGUUCUUUCAUGAUUAUGUGAUAGGUGGUGCAUGGCCGUUCUUAGUUCGUGGAGUGAUCUGUCUGCUUAAUUGCGUUUCACUUUUAUAGAGAUAUUUAAAACGUAUAUAUUUAUAUUUAUUUAUUUAUUUUAUGCAUAAAUUAUCUCUCAGUUGAAAGCAACGAACGUGACCGUUGUCUUUUGUUGUCUAUAUCCCUUUAUAAAUAGACUUUUUUUUAAUAAACAAAACUAAAGAGACCGCUGUAUUUUCUUUUAAACCAGAGGAAGGUAACGGCAAUAACAGGUCUGUGAUGCCCUUAGAUGUUCCGGGCUGCACACGUGCUACAAUAAUUAUUGCAGUGAGCAUCUCAUAUUUUUUUACACUGUUUUAAAUUCUAACAGCGUUAUACUCUUUCGGGGGUAUGCUGUUCUGUUUUGAAUUUACAGUAAAGCCUACAUCGAGAGUUUUCUUUUACGUGGGUAACCAAUUAGAAGUAAUGAAUUUCCUAUUUUUGUAUAUUUUAUGCAGUAUUUUAUAUCCACUUGUAUUUUCAUACAAGACUGCGUAUAUAUUAUAUUUUUUGCACAUACAAUUGUCAAUUUAUAGUGGGGACAGACCAUUGUUAAUUGUUGGUCUCGGUCUUAACUAGGAAUGCCUUGUACGGGUCUUUGGUUCAACAAACCACCCGGAAUACGUCCCUGCCCUUUGUACACACCGCCCGUCGCUCUUACCGAUGAACUUCUCUGUGAGUUUCAGGGACCGUCCUCUUUAUAGGAAACUUAAACGAACAGUGUGGUUUAAAGGAAAGAGAAGUCGAACAAGGCA
rnacentral:rRNA from 1 species